rnacentral:rRNA from 1 species
CACGUAGGCACCAAGCGUUAUCCGGAUUUAUUGGGCGUAAAGAGCUCGUAGGCGGUUCGGUAAGUCGGGUGUGAAAACUCUGGGCUCAACCCAGAGAGGCCACCCGAUACUGCUGUGACUAGAGUGCGGUAGGGGAGCGGGGAAUUCCUGGUGUAGCGGUGAAAUGCGCAGAUAUCAGGAGGAACACCAAUUGCGAAGGCAGCUCGCUGGGACGUUACUGACGCUGAGGCGCGACAGCGUGGGGAGCAAACAGG